GACGAACGCUGGCGGCGUGCUUAACACAUGCAAGUCGAACGGAAAGGCCCUGCUUUUGUGGGGUGCUCGAGUGGCGAACGGGUGAGUAACACGUGAGUAACCUGCCCUUGACUUUGGGAUAACUUCAGGAAACUGGGGCUAAUACCAGAUAGGAGCUCCUGCUGCAUGGUGGGGGUUGGAAAGUUUCGGCGGUUGGGGAUGGACUCGCGGCUUAUCAGCUUGUUGGUGGGGUAGUGGCUUACCAAGGCUUUGACGGGUAGCCGGCCUGAGAGGGUGACCAGCCACAUUGGGACUGAGAUACGGCCCAGACUCCUACGGGAGGCAGCAGUGGGGAAUAUUGCACAAUGGGCGGAAGCCUGAUGCAGCAACGCCGCGUGCGGGAUGACGGCCUUCGGGUUGUAAACCGCUUUCGCCUGUGACGAAGCGUGAGUGACGGUAAUGGGUAAAGAAGCACCGGCUAACUACGUG
rnacentral:rRNA from 1 species